CUACUAUCAUACCCUUGCACAUGUUGGGAGGGCAGAGAUUGCAACUAUGAGGGGAUUUUUGAAAAUCAACAUAAGGGAGGAUUCGAAGCCUGCCUUCCCCAUCGACGUAGCCUGGAUUGGUGUUGAUCUCAGAAAAACAAUCCCUGAUUCCGAGAUGUUUCAAUAUUGUUUCGAUGAAGAAUACAUUUGCAUCGCUAAUUACUCUCAAAUCACACCCUAAUGCAUGAGCUGAUUUAAUAGCCGGAACAAUCCUGGGGUGUAUGGGAACCCGUUUCAGUACCUCUUCAAUGUCUUGUAUUGUUUUGCCUUGUGUAUGGAGCUCCUUCAUCAUUCUAUCCA
rnacentral:misc_RNA from 1 species